UGGGGAAUAUUGGACAAUGGGGGAAACCCUGAUCCAGCAAUGCCGCGUGAGUGAUGAAGGUCUUCGGAUUGUAAAGCUCUUUUGGCAGGGACGAUGAUGACGGUACCUGCAGAAUAAGCUCCGGCUAACUUCGUGCCAGCAGCCGCGGUAAUACGAAGGGAGCAAGCGUUGUUCGGAUUUACUGGGCGUAAAGAGCGCGUAGGCGGUUUAGUAAGUUAGAAGUGAAAGCCCCGGGCUUAACUCGGGAAUUGCUUUUAAGACUGCUAGACUUGAGUAUGGAAGAGGUUGGUGGAAUUCCCAGUGUAGAGGUGAAAUUCGUAGAUAUUGGGAAGAACAUCAGUGGCGAAGGCGGCCAACUGGUCCAUAACUGACGCUGAGGCGCGAAAGCGUGGGGAGCAAA
rnacentral:rRNA from 1 species